rnacentral:rRNA from 1 species
AGUGAACGCUGGCGGUAGGCUUAACACAUGCAAGUCGAACGGCAGCACAGUAAGAGCUUGCUCUUACGGGUGGCGAGUGGCGGACGGGUGAGGAAUACAUCGGAAUCUACUUUUUCGUGGGGGAUAACGUAGGGAAACUUACGCUAAUACCGCAUACGACCUACGGGUGAAAGCAGGGGAUCUUCGGAUCUUGCGCGAUUGAAUGAGCCGAUGUCGGAUUAGCUAGUUGGCGGGGUAAAGGCCCACCAAGGCGACGAUCCGUAGCUGGUCUGAGAGGAUGAUCAGCCACACUGGAACUGAGACACGGUCCAGACUCCUACGGGAGGCAGCAGUGGGGAAUAUUGGACAAUGGGCGCAAGCCUGAUCCAGCCAUACCGCGUGGGUGAAGAAGGCCUUCGGGUUGUAAAGCCCUUUUGUUGGGAAAGAAAGGCAGCAGGUUAAUACCCCGCUGUUCUGACGGUACCCAAAGAAUAAGCACCGGCUAACUUCGUG